GAGAUCUUUAAUAAACAAUUUCCCAAAAAAGUGGAGUAUACAAUAGUACAUACUUUGACAGUGGCCAGAUUGGCUUUUGUACAGUGUUGGAAACAACCUCAUGUUCCAUUAAAGAAAAUGAUUAUUCAAAAAAUCUCAAGUUGUGCAGAAAUGGACAAAUUAACUUUGGCAUUAAAAGAUGAAGAAACAUCAAUGUAUUAUGACAGCUGGAACUGCUGGUAUGAAUGGAUAGACCAAAGACAGAUUACACAAUAAAGGGCAAAAGAAGAUAUGUUAUAAUUGUAGCAGUGAUUUUAUAUAAU